GGCGGGCCGGGGCUCCCCGUUGCCGGGCAACGCGAGCCCCAGCAGGGGCAGCGGCACCCGAGCCAGGCCGCGCUGGGCUGCUAGAGCACCCGGGGUUUGCACGGGGAAUGCCCUUCCACCUGCAUCCUCCCUCAGAGCCGCAUAUUUUAGGUUCACAAAGGUGAAGAGUUCGGAGGCAGGAAACUACAGCAGAAGAAACCGAUUUUCCAGAUAGGAACAACAGGAGCAAACUGAAGUGGUUACAGCACAAGUUUGAGGACUUUCCUCUUGGUCGUGAAAGCUCUAUUUAUAAGGCAGUUUUGUCAACCAAAAAGAAAGAAAAAAAUGCAUGAUUCUGUGUCUCUGAAGACUGAACGUCAAAAGCCCAGUAGGUUUAGGAUAGAGACGAGGUUUAAGUGUGAGUGACAUGUGCAUCCCUGGGAAACAGCUCGUUGGAGGCAGAACCUUAAAUCAUCUGAAGGGAAUGGCUUUGGCCAUUUUAAUGCCCGUCCACUUUACCAUCAGAGGACUUUACAUUAAAGGAAGCUUCAUGUAUUUUUAAUAUCUGUUGCAAUGCUGCCAAGCUUUAAACUCCUCAGUAGACACAAGCCUGCUGCAAAAAUUCUGAUCUGUGUAUUUUCAACCCCUCAAAACAUGAUUCCAAGCCUGGAUCUCUGGGAAAUUAUCCCAAGUGCUAAAUACACUUUGAAGCAGUGGAACCCUCUAUUCCAUGUUCUCAAGGCCAGAUCCUCAUCUGGAGUAAAUAGAAAUAGUUUCAAAGUCAUUCUGUCGAAGUGUGAAGCUCUGAAGAGCAAUAUUGACCUGCAGCAAAGUUUCUGGAAGAUAAAUUAAGUCUGCUGUUAUAGUCCUGCAGCAUAUUGUUUCCAGAUGGUGGUCUUCUAAUAAAGGAGAGUCUGGAAAAUUCUUAAAGGAUUUGAAUUUUAUAAUAUUCAAAGGACAGAAAUAUUCAGGAUUUAAAUGAUUUAAAUUCACACUCAACAGGAGACUGAAUGACACAGGGAUUGCUGUUGGAUCGUGCAGUCUAUCACCUCCAUGGCACUGGGCCUAUCCAUCUUUCUAGGGUUUGCACAUCAGGUAAAAUUUCAGAAGAAAUUAAUGGAAGAGCUGCUAGUGACUAAAAUCGAAUCAGUAUUUCACCUCCACAUGACAUGGUUUGCUUCCUUCCAGCUAGCAUUAAAUAGCAAGCAGCAAAUAAAGACACAUUGCAGUGGAACCAA